CCGACCUUGAAAAGUGAAAUGAAUGGGAUUUAACGUCCUACAGAUAAUAAAUAUGUCAGAUGUUAUUGGAGAACAACAUGAUAAAGGUUUUUAAAGAGUUUCAACCCUUGUCGUUUGAAAUCAAUAAAAAGUCACCAGACUUAAUCCAGCGCCAUUUUUGGCAUUUUUUCUUUUGAUUGGCUGUGGAUUGUGGUGACAGGAAAUGGAAAGUCGAUGUAUCGCUUAACUCAAUAUAUCCACACUGCCAAAAUACAGAUUGAAUACGUUUUAAAUAAAAUAACGAGAUUAAAAGGUUGGCAUGUCGAAAUAGCUAAAAUGAACGCAUCUAAUCCCACUUAAGACAGGCGAAGACGUAGAAACCUUAAUGUCGUGAUCACCGGGCGUUAUUGCCAACGAGUUUUUCUCCCUCUUUUGACGUGGAUAAGUGAUGGGAGCGUCAGAUCAAGGAUUUCACAAGUGUUAAAUGCAGAAACCCAAAGAAUAUUUAUCAAGAUCAUCAAUUACAAUAUGUAGAGUGUGAGUUUUCUCACAUAGAAAGAAGCAGAUUAGAAUUACAAAGGAG